AUGUGUCUCGGCUAAAGUGUCUUGGCUAAUGUGUCUUGGCUAAUGUGUCUUGGCUAAGGUGUCUUGGCUAAUGUGUCUUGGCUAAGGUGUCUUGGCUAAGGUGUCUUGGCUAAGGUGUCUUGGCUAAUGUGUCUUGGCUAAUGUGUCUUGGCUAAUGUGUCGGACAAUGUGUCUUGGCUAAUGUGUCUUGGUUAAUGUGUCUUGGCUAAGGUGUCUUGGCUAAGGUGUCUUGGCUAAUGUGUCUUGGCUACUGUGUCUUGGCUAAGGUGUCUUGGCUAAGGUGUCUUGGCUAAUGUGUCUUGGCUAAUGUGUCGUGGCUAAUGUGUCUCGGCUAAGGUGUCUUGGCUAAUGUGUCUUGGCUAAGGUGUCUUGGCUAAGGUGUCUUGGCUAAUGUGUCUUGGCUAAGGUGUCUUGGCUAAUGUGUCUUGGCUAAUGUGUCUUGGCUAAGGUGUCUUGGCUAAGGUGUCUUGGCUAAUGUGUCUUCGCUAAUGUGUCUUGGCUAAGGUGUCUUGGCUAAUGUGUCUUGGCUAAUGUGUCUUGGCUAAGGUGUCUUGGCUAAGGUGUCUUGGCUAAGGUGUCUUCGCUAAUGUGUCUUGGCUAAUGUGUCUUGGCUAAUGUGUCUUGGCUAAUGUGUCUCGGCUAAUGUAUCUUGGCUAAGGUGUCUUGGCUAAUGUGUCUUGGCUAAUGUGUCUUGGCUAAGGUGUCUUGACUAAGGUGUCUUGGCUAAGGUGUCUUGGC